AUUGAACGCUGGCGGCAUGCCUUACACGUGCAAGUCGAACGGUAACAGGCCGCAAGGUGCUGACGAGUGGCGAGCGGGUGAGUAAUGCAUCGGAACGUGCCCAGUCGUGGGGGAUAACUGCUCGAAAGAGCAGCUAAUACCGCAUACGACCUGAGGGUGAAAGCGGGGGACCGUAAGGCCUCGCGCGAUUGGAGCGGCCGAUGUCAGAUUAGCUAGUUGGUGGGGUAAAGGCCUACCAAGGCAACGAUCUGUAGUUGGUCUGAGAGGACGACCAGCCACACUGGGACUGAGACACGGCCCAGACUCCUACGGGAGGCAGCAGUGGGGAAUUUUGGACAAUGGGCGCAAGCCUGAUCCAGCAAUGCCGCGUGCAGGAAGAAGGCCUUCGGGUUGUAAACUGCUUUUGUCAGGGAAGAAAUCUUCUGGGCUAAUACCCCGGGAGGAUGACGGUACCUGAAGAAUAAGCACCGGCUAACUACGUGCCAGCAGCCGCGGUAAGAC
rnacentral:rRNA from 1 species